ACAUCACUCAACAGGAUGAGAAGAUCAGCUUUUAGUUCUAAAGCUAGCAAAGCCGAUAAACUGUCAUUAUCCCAAAAAAUACCAGAAGAAUCCUCAUAUGGAGCUCUCCUAGUACUGACAGCAUCAUUUUCAUUAAAUAUAGGGAUAACCCUCAGAGAUAAUAGUGAUUUCACAGUGUCAUUAAGUUGCUUUCGGAACUCUUUAUCCCUAAAAUCAUUAUCAGUCACAAGAAGCUGCGCUGAUGUCACAUCCAGCUGACCAAACAAUGUAUCAUAAAGAGCCAUCAGACUGUUUUGUCCAACAGCUGCGCAUGCCUUCCCAUCAAUUUCAACUUGUGGUUUUUGGAGGUCAGCAAAGCUGCUAUUGACUAAUUUCCGGUAUCU
rnacentral:misc_RNA from 1 species